GGGCCCGCACAAGCGGUGGAGCAUGUGGUUUAAUUCGAUGAUACGCGAGGAACCUUACCAGGACUUAAAUGUAAGUUGCAUGAUUCAGAAAUGAAUCUUUCUUCGGACUACUUACAAGGUGCUGCAUGGUUGUCGUCAGCUCGUGCCGUGAGGUGUCAGGUUAAGUCCUAUAACGAGCGCAACCCCUAUCGUUAGUUGCCAUCAAGUAAAGUUGGGAACUCUAGCGAAACUGCCGGUGCAAACCGUGAGGAAGGUGGGGAUGACGUCAAAUCAUCACGGCCCUUACGUUCUGGGCUACACACGUGCUACAAUGGCCGGUACAGAAAGCAGCCACUAUGCGAAUAGGAGCUAAUCUUUAAAACCGGUCUCAGUUCGGAUCGCAGGCUGCAACUCGCCUGCAUGAAGCCGGAAUCGCUAGUAA
rnacentral:rRNA from 1 species